AGCAGCCGCGGUAAUUCCAGCUCCAAUAGCGUAUAUUAAAGUUGUUGCAGUUAAAAAGCUCGUAGUUGAACUUCGGGAUCAAUGGAUUGGUCAUGCCGAUGGUGUGUACUGGUCAUAUUGGUUCUCACCUUCUAAGGAACCAUAAUGUCAUUUAUUUGAUGUUGUGGGGAAUUAGGACUGUUACCUUGAAAAAUUAGAGUGUUUAAAGCAGGCUAACGCUUGAAUACAUUAGCAUGGAAUAAUGAAAUAGGACAUCGCAUUCUAUUUUGUUGGUUUCUAGGAUCGAUGUAAUGAUUAAUAGGGAUAGUUGGGGGCAUUAGUAUUCAAUUGUCAGAGGUGAAAUUCUUGGAUUUAUUGAAGACUAACUACUGCGAAAGCAUUUGCCAAGAAUGUUUUCAUUAAUCAAGAACGAAAGUUAGGGGAUCGAAGACGAUCAGAUACCGUCGUAGUCUUAACCAUAAACUAUGCCGACUAGGGAUCGGAUGAUGUUGAUUUUU
rnacentral:misc_RNA from 2 species